rnacentral:rRNA from 1 species
CUACGGGGCGCUGCAGUGAGGAAUAUUGCACAAUGGAGGAAACUCUGAUGCAGCAACGCCGCGUGGAGGAUGACGCAUUUCGGUGUGUAAACUCCUUUUAUAUGUCAAGAAAAUGGCGGUAGCAUAUGAAUAAGCUCCGGCUAACUCCGUGCCAGCAGCCGCGGUAAUACGGAGGGUGCAAGCGUUACUCGGAAUCACUGGGCGUAAAGGACGCGUAGGCGGGUUGGAAAGUCAGGUGUGAAAUCCUACAGCUUAACUGUAGAACUGCACUUGAAACUUCUAAUCUAGAGUAUGGGAGGGGGAGAUGGAAUUAGUGGUGUAGGGGUAAAAUCCGUAGAUAUCACUAGGAAUACCUAAAGCGAAGGCGAUCUCCUGGAACAUUACUGACGCUAAGGCGUGAAAGCGUGGGGAGCAAACAGGAUUAGAUACCCCGGUAGUC